GUUCUCACUUCAGCAACACAUAUACUAAAAUUGCAAAGAUACAGAGAAGAUUAACAUGGCUCCUGUGUAAGGAUGACACUAAAAUUUUGUUGUUCUACUGAUAUAA